UACAGAGACCUCAAGCGUUAUCCGGAAUCAUUGGGCGUAAAGCGUACCGAUCGGUGGUUAAGAUAGUCAGAUGUGAAAUCUCCGAGCUCAACUCGGAAUCUGUCAUUUGAAACUUCUUGACUAGAGGGGCAAAGAGGAAGCUGGAACAAACGGUGUAGUAGUGAAAUGCGUUGAGAUCAGGAAGAACACCGGUGGCGAAGGCGCUCUGCUAGGCCGCAACUGACACUGAGGGACGAAAGCUAGGGGAGCGAAUGGG
rnacentral:rRNA from 1 species